UUCUCUUGAGAGCGGCGGACGGGUGAGUAAUGCCUAGGAAUCUGCCUGGUAGUGGGGGAUAACGUUCGGAAACGGACGCUAAUACCGCAUACGUCCUACGGGAGAAAGCAGGGGACCUUCGGGCCUUGCGCUAUCAGAUGAGCCUAGGUCGGAUUAGCUAGUUGGUGGGGUAAUGGCUCACCAAGGCUACGAUCCGUAACUGGUCUGAGAGGAUGAUCAGUCACACUGGAACUGAGACACGGUCCAGACUCCUACGGGAGGCAGCAGUGGGGAAUAUUGGACAAUGGGCGAAAGCCUGAUCCAGCCAUGCCGCGUGUGUGAAGAAGGUCUUCGGAUUGUAAAGCACUUUAAGUUGGGAGGAAGGGUUGUAGAUUAAUACUCUGCAAUUUUGACGUUACCGACAGAAUAAGCACCGGCUAACUCUGUGCCAGCAGCCGCGGUAAUACAGAGGGUGCAAGCGUUAAUCGGAAUUACUGGGCGUAAAGCGCGCGUAGGUGGUUUGUUAAGUUGGAUGUGAAAUCCCCGGGCUCAACCUGGGAACUGCAUUCAAAACUGACUGACUAGAGUAUGGUAGAGGGUGGUGGAAUU
rnacentral:rRNA from 1 species